rnacentral:rRNA from 1 species
UACGGAGGGGGCUAGCGUUGUUCGGAAUCACUGGGCUUAAAGGGCGCGUAGGCGGGCUUGCAAGUCUGCGGUGAAAGCCUCCAGCUCAACUGGAGAAGUGCCGUGGGUACUGCGGGCCUCGAGGAGGGUAGGGGCAUCUGGAACGUUGGGUGGAGCGGUGAAAUGCGUUGAUAUCCAACGGAACUCCGGUGGCGAAGGCGAGGUGCUGGACCCUUUCUGACGCUGAGGCGCGAAAGCCAGGGGAGCGAACGGG